rnacentral:rRNA from 1 species
GUACACGCUGUGACUAGCAUAUCAAUAAGCGGAGGAAAAGAAACUAACAAGGAUUCCCCUAGUAACGGCGAGUGAAGCGGGAAGAGCUCAAAUUUGAAAUCUUCAAGGUUUUACCUUGACGAAUUGUAGUUUAAAGAAGUGUUUUCUGUUGAAGUUUUGGUAAAAGCUCUUUGGAAUAGGACAUCAUAGAGGGUGAGAAUCCCGUAUUUGACCAUUAUUUUCAGCUUUGUGAUACACUUUCAAAGAGUCGGAUUGUUUGGGAAUGCAGUCCAAAAUGGGUGGUAAAUUUCAUCUAAAGCUAAAUAUUGGCGAGAGACCGAUAGCGAACAAGUACCGUGAGGAAAGAUGAAAAGAACUUUGAAAAGAGAGUUAAACAGUACGUGAAAUUGUCAAAAGGGAAGCGUUUAACACCAGUGUUGUUUUCUCGAAAAUCAAUUAAAAAUGGCUCGAUUUUGUAUUGCUGAGACCUUAAAAGCUCACUGUACAUUUUUCGUGUCUUUUUUAAUGCACUUUUCGUUUAACAAGUCAACAUCAGUUUCUUUUGUUGUAAAAGGGUCAUUGGAAGGUGGCUUUCUUUUCGGAGAAAGUGUUUAUAGCCUUUGGCCUCUGCAAUCGGAGAGACUGAGGUCUGCAGCGUAGACUCUUCGGGGUUAGAUACAUUUGUGCUAAGUUAUAGCUUUUUAUAGACAACUUGUUGACUAUAAUUAGUCUUGUAGCUUACUCGCUUAUGCUAUUUUACCUACGCUUAGGAUGUUGACGCAUGAGAUAUACGC